UGUGCAAUGUAAACAAAUAACGUGUACAAAUAUCAACUAAAUCCAUAAAAUGACUUAAAUAUUAAGUAUUUCCGCAAUUUUCAGUAAAUAAUUCAUCAUUUCUUCCAAUUAGGAAUUAGGAAUGUUCUGCUUGAGAAGAUGUUGUUUUUAAGUGAAUUUCGAAAGUGGAAGUUGUAUCUUUACCCCCAACCCUAUAGCUGUGCCUGUCAGAUGUAGCCGCGCGGUGAAACGUUGAUCUGUGCAGCUUACUCUCUAGCGAGCAGUGUCACCACAAGCGCCAAACACAAUCAGCAACCUUUGCCAAACCUACCGUAGGAAAGCCUGUAAUUGGCCUUUACUAUUAGCGAUAGGUGAUGAUUGUAACGCCGUAGCAGUGUGAGAGAGUUGGGAUCCUCGUUCACUUUUCACGCGGAAAACAUUCACUACUUUAGAAUCUGCACCAAGCUCCACUGUGAUGAACCGUUGCACGUAAUCAAUUUCAUUCAGCUUGGCAAGACACGAUUGUUCCUUUGGACGGCUUCAUCUACCCAACGGACCAAACCAUCCUUCUAACCACUCGCUAGCGAAAACCAUUUGCUACCAUUUUGAUCCAUUAAACCAAAAAAAGAAAAAGAAACCCCUUUUUGUUCGCCUUAUCGUGCACCCGUUCUCAUCAAUUCGGCACAUUCUCCCGAUUUGCUCGUUAUAUGCCACUCGUUCAUUUGUCAUUUGUGGUCGGAAAAAGCAAAAAUACAACGUAAAAGAGGGCAUACACCUCCCCGUCUGAGCCUGCCGCCGUUCAAUUGUUCGCUAAUGAUGGAGGUCGCCUAGAUAGCGAGCAAAAGAAGAAGGCGAAGAAGACGAAGAAGAAGAGGACGAGUAAGAAGAAAGUAGCCGCCCCAAAAAAGCCCCAGCGUACCCAGGAUCGUGCCUGGUAAGGUUAGGUGUGCCACCCGGUGUCCGGAGGCGAGCUUUGGCGUUUUCGAUUACGGAGCGGAAGUUUUGCUUUUGAAUAAUGCUGCUGGCUGCUGCUGCGACCUGGUUGUGAUGUUGUGAUAGCGGAGACCGGGAGGAGGUGUUUGGGAAAGCCGCCAACCGCCCCCCUCCCCCUCUCCCGCCCCCUUGGAGUACGGUGCAAAAUUCGCAUCGUCCCCGCGUUGGCCGUACGGCCGUGAUAGCUAAUCUGCGAUUCGGGCACAAUUUCCGUUCAAUCAAUGGUUCGCCAAAGCCACGGCAAUCCACCUUUGGGGCACACGGUGUGCAGUGGCAGGAGAUGUGUGUGUGUGCCACCGUUCGCCGGUCGUUAGAUUAAUCCUUCUUGAAGGUUUCGGGGUUUGUGGAAAAAAAAUGAAGAAGGUAAACUGUGGAGCGGGCGAAGAGCAUCCACCUUCAGCGGGAUUGUGAUAAGCAAUUUUUGCUUUGAUCCCACCACCCAUUCCCAAAACCCAUUGUAGCCGGGGCUGUGCACGCGGAAAGCAGCACUGAAUCAAUGAGUGAAUUUUCCAAUUUCACUGUAAGCGCGCGUGUGUUGCCUCGACACACCGGAAGGAUAAAAAUGCCUGUUUUUUUGUUGCUGUUGUUGGCUCCUUCCUACGCGUGCUUUAUAAAGCCGUUUCCUGCACUUUCAACGCUGCUUUUCGGUAUGGUGAAAGGAAAGCGGAGUUUCCCCUGUUACUGUAUAUACCGCGAUAUCGCGCAAAGUAAGUCACCAACAACGAGCGCGAUGAACUCUGUGUGAUCUUACAAACCUGGGCCACUUUACUGCGGCACGGUAAUGAUGGCAUGAGCGUAAUCACCGGUCGACAAUCGAUUUGUUCGGCUGUCCCGUGCUCAGGCAGUUUACAGCAGGAGAAAAAAAACGCAUUUCUGCCAAUAAGCUGCCUCUUUUGCUGCCGAUUACGCUGUAAUCUCGCACACUUUCCGGUGCGAAGGGUCCGCCAGGAUGGUUGUUACGUUGCUCCACUUUCUCAGGGGUAAUCGUUGUGUAAGCAAAUCGUUUCGAAUAAAGUGGACUAUGAAAUUAUUUAUAUCGUUUUGAAUGGAUUAGGAACAAAACAAAAAACAAAACGGCUCUGCAUGUACGGUGCCAGCUAAUUCCUUUGAGAUGUAGUAUUCGCAAAAGGGAAUGUGGAAGAAUAAUGGCAAAGUAGUAUUAUUAUGAUGGCACGUGUUGCUCAAUUACUAAAGCAUCUGCUCGAGUGUUAGGGUGUGUGUUGGUUGUAGCGUUGGUGGCGUCUGCUCCUUAAGAGAUGGAAUUAGAUAGCUCAAGAGAUGUUCAAGUGUAAGCGUAAGCCUUACAACGAAAUUGGGGUCCUACUUAAAAGCCUUAACAAGCGCAUAUAAAACAAGUUCAAUGUAGCAAACAUGUUCAAAGAACAAAGCACGGUCAAGGCUGAUGAACUGUUCUGGGUUCUUUGCUGUGGAGCUUUGCAUUGAUCAGUAUUGUUGGUUGACAGUAAUGUUAGAGAAAAUUUUUAAAUUUCCCACAGAGUUUGUAUAUGUUUUUGUAGAGCAAGAUGAAUACAUAGUAAGCAUUACUAUUUAGUGUACAAGUUGCUUCAUGUGUUGUCUGUACUAAUUGCUAAUUGCGAAAAGGAGUACGCAAUUGAAGAAUUUCAAGCUUAGCGCGGUUGCUGUGCGGAUCAAGAGGAAAGACAAUACAUAAGAAACUGGCAUACAAUGUACGGUAGCGCUGGCAUUUGAUGCUUACUUCCUUCGAUACGUUGGAGCACAUUGUUUGAAAAAAAUCAAACCCACAUACACUCCUAUGAUCCUACACGUGCUUCCUAGUAAUUGAACAAUCGUAACAAUCCUCCUAGAUACGGGAAACAUUCUGGGAAUCCUGCAAGUGGACGAAAACUUCUGGAAGUGUAUUUUUAGAGGUAAAUCUUAUACCUGAACUGAACGCUUUUAGACGAACUGUGGAAUUGAAUCAAUGGGAUUUCAUCGUAUCGUUGAAGUUGUUCUGGAAAAGAAGAUGAACACACAUGACCAGUUAGUUUGGAAAGAGUGGAUUUUUUCGUGCUUAUACUAUUGUAAUAUGCUACAGUUGGCCUUUAUAACGUUGUCAAUUUGUUUCCGUCGAAGCGGACUUUCACUUGAUGUAACUUUCAGAAGUCCGAUUUAUUUCAGUAACUUUAGACUUCAUUUCACUUUACAAAAUUCUCUUUAUUUCUCUUCAGUAUAUACUUUCCGUUCAAGAAUUUAGAAGAAGUAACCUUUUUCGUUCAGCGAAUGUUUGGUGCAUUCUACAGCGGCUUAUGAUCAUGCAGUUAGUGAUUCAGGAUUCGGAAGAUUCGAAGAUUCAAUUGACGAAGAAGAUUCGUGGGAACGAAAGAAACCACGUAUCUCUAAUUUGGGAAGACGAUUCACACAGUUUUCAGUCAAAAUAUAGCAAAUGUUCGUGUAAUGUAGCAUUUAAUGAGAAGUUAUAGACACUAGAUAAAUUUUUCUGACUUGAUAUUGAAUAAAGGUCCGCGUAUCUCGGGG